rnacentral:rRNA from 1 species
AUGACUAACACACACCGGGUGGGGAUAGCCAACGGGGCUGCUGAUGCACCUCGCGUCGCCGGAAGUGACGACAUCACUGUGCUUAAUGAAGAUGUUUCUGACAUAUUCGGGCUAUGUAACGAGGGUGGUGAUGUGAUUAGCAUGAUAGCAACGGUACAACUAGACGCCAAAAAAUUUGUUCCGAAUCAGUUUCUAGACAAAAGAACAGGCCUAAUCCUGAUCGAUGACUUGAUAAAAAAUAUUGUUGAUAGUCAGUCAUAUGAUGAUGAUUUUGUGAGAAGGGCCGUACCGGUUCUUAUGGGUACAGUCUUAGCACCACAAUCCACCAAGUUUGUUCCUUACCGUUAUUACAAAAUGGUGGAGGACGUCAACGCUUUCAAGUCAUACAGUUGGAACGAUUUCACGUUGGGGUAUAUAUACUGGGAAAAACUUGAGCCAAUUGGUGUCGAUGCAUUUGAUCCUUUGUCUCGUGAAUACCCACUAAUGCUUAACUGGCCAGAAACGGAAGGGAAAAAGCGAGACGACUAUGACAACAUACACGGGCGGGGUACCGGCAAUAUUGAAAACUGCAUUAGCGAAGAGUACAGAUGUGCUAAGGUUGCACGUGAAGGGACUGUCCUAGAGGAAGAAACGAAGAAAACUAAACGGAAAGGUGGUGGCAGGAGUAGAAAGCCAAGCACGUCGGUGGUUUCAUCGAACACGAAUUAUAGUAUGGACCGUGUGAUGACAUACAUAAAGCUGCUUGACAAGGAGAUGGUAAUGGAAAGGUUGAACACAGAAGGUUUGAUGUACAAACCCAAUAAGAGGGACAACGUUGACGAAUUUGAUGAUGUAGGUGAAGGAGUUGGGAUGCAGAAUGGCAAGUACAAGUCAAAAUAUUGGCUAGAUGUUGAAUCACCUACCAACGUAAUGAUAGGAACAUCUUUCACGGGUGAAGCUAUUGAUCCUUUCAUUAUAGACGAUAAUGGAAACUCUCCAUCUUCGGCAUCAACUGUACGGACAAAAGAUUUUCCGUCUAUGUCCCGAACCCCGCAGAAUGCUGAUAUUUCUGGUGAGUCUAUGGGUGGUUUGUCACCAACAAAGUCCGAAGAAACGUUUGAGAGUUUCCCGGCAAAGAGCAACGUAGCUAAUGGUGAUGGCAGUCAGGACAAUGAAGGUAAACGCAAACGAAAUCCUUCGAAAUGUUGUCAAUCCCCCUAG